rnacentral:lncRNA from 1 species
UUAAAUUUUGUUAACGAUGUCUAAAUUGUUACCUGAGGUGGACUUAAAUGAUUUUUUAAUUUAAAAAAAGUUUAAAAAAGUUCCUGCCACGUCAUCAGCCUGACACAUCAUCAUCAUCGUCUCCAGACAAACCCUAAUUUCUUUCUAAGAAACCCUAGCCGCCGCAUCAUCCAACACCGUCAUCGCCAUCCUGCUGGCAGCCGGCAACCGUCCUCUCCAACGCAUCAUCAACGUCCAAGCCGUCGUCGCAGAACCACCAUCUCGGACCUUCAUCUUCUCCGACAUCAGGGUGCAUGCAAAUUUUUUUACCUAAAAAAUCGAUACAAAAGAGAUGAUAGAAUGAAACAAAAAGGGUAAAAGAAUUGUGGACAUAGAAUGAAGUUCAUGAGCUCAAUUGAAGUCCCAUGUUCCAUUCCUUGCCAGAUUUAUCACGAUUCACAACAGAAAAGUAACAGGUGGGAUGAAAUAAUAACGAGAUGUUGAUCGUAACCAUUAAAUGAGAAACUGCACAAAAUGAAGGAAUUGAAAAUGAGACCAGUAAAUGUCCUCCUCCUUAGAUCUGCAACCAUUACAACUUUAAACCCCCAUUUGAACAACAACAUUCAGAGAUGAAAAAAGUUUCAAUCUUUAGUGGUUUGAGUCUAAGAGACGGUGAAAGGUACGAGUUGAGAGCAAAGACACACAACCCACAGAGUAUGCUUCGAUAGUUGCGCAUGCUUGGGCAAGGGAGCCCUCGUUGCCGUUUUGACCCCAGUAGAUGGAAAUUUAGAGUUUAGGGUUUAAGGUAGGAUUU